rnacentral:tRNA from 1 species
GGGCCCGUGGUCUAGUGGUUAUGACAUCACCCUUACAAGGUGAGAAUCGGCGGUUCGAAUCCGCCCGGGCCCA